rnacentral:rRNA from 1 species
UACGUAGGGUGCAAGCGUUAAUCGGAAUUACUGGGCGUAAAGCGUGCGCAGGCGGUUAUGUAAGACAGAUGUGAAAUGCCCGGGCUUAACCUGGGAACUGCAUUUGUGACUGCAUGGCCAGAGUUUGGCAGAGGGGGGGUAGAAUUCCACGUGUAGCAGUGAAAUGCGUAGAUAUCUGGAGGAACACCGGUGGCGAAGGCGGCAUCCUGGACCGAUAUUGACGCUGAUGCGCGAAAGCCAGGGGAGCAAACGGG